AGAAUUCCAGAUACACAAGCUUCAUACUUGGAAGAAGGAAGGUUUUCUGUCAUGGAAAUGCAUCCCCCAAAUGUCUCAAAUUCUGAAACCUGUAAAAAAUUUGUCCUUAGUUUUAAAGAUGAUUUAGAAAAUGUUGAUGAUUUCAUUGGUGCUCACUGUAUCUCUGCUGUGAAAAAAACGCAUAGAUGAACUUGAUUCUUCUGCAUCAGAAGUAAAGCCACAAUAUGGAUUAUCAAGGCAAUUCAACCACAGUCGUGAUGCCAAAUCUAGGAUAUCUAUUGAAAAUCUAGAUGAGAUUUCUUCUGGGUCAAGUACUUUGACUGACCCAUACCAACAAUAAGAGAA